rnacentral:rRNA from 1 species
GAUGAACGCUGGCGGCGUGCCUAAUACAUGCAAGUCGAGCGAACAGACGAGGAGCUUGCUCCUCUGACGUUAGCGGCGGACGGGUGAGUAACACGUGGAUAACCUACCUAUAAGACUGGGAUAACUUCGGGAAACCGGAGCUAAUACCGGAUAAUAUAUUGAACCGCAUGGUUCAAUAGUGAAAGACGGUUUUGCUGUCACUUAUAGAUGGAUCCGCGCCGCAUUAGCUAGUUGGUAAGGUAACGGCUUACCAAGGCAACGAUGCGUAGCCGACCUGAGAGGGUGGUCGGCCAAACUGGAACUGAGACACGGUCCAGACUCCUACGGGAGGAAGCAGUAGGGAAUCGUCCGCAAUGGGCGAAAGCCUGACGGAGCAACGCCGAGUGAGUGAUGAAGGUCUUCGGAUCGUAAAACUCUGUUAGUAGGGAAGAACAAAUGUGUAAGUAACUAUGCACGUCUUGACGGUACCUAAUCAGAAAGCCACGGCUAACUACGUG